GUUUGAUCCUCAUACAACUACUAUUCAUGCUCAUCAUAUGUCUUUCCCUUUCGAAAAAUAAACAUCUGACUUACCUGUGGUUAUUGAACAUACCAGAUUUUUUAGAUCGCACGAAAUUUCAGAAAGAGAAAUUUCGAGCCAAUAAAAGAUUUUUUCCGGUUUUUUUUCUUUGUGAAACAGUUCGUUCAAUCCUUGGACACACUUUAAUCAUUUAAAAAAUGUUGCAUCUCCAUAUUGCCAAAACUCAGGAAUGAAAAGCUGAAUCAACUCAUUAGAAUUCUGCAAACAGGAAAACGUGAACGUGCUGCAACACAAAAAAUUGACGUCAGAAACUCGUCUUACUGUCCUUCCGACAAUGAUACCGGUAGACUGGAUUUGUUGAAGACCAUCAAAGACUAGAUCAACAUGUAGUGACAAUGCAACGUCAAUAGAAUUUGAUUAGACAACGUCAUUUGUGAGACAGAUCUACGGCCGCAACGUCAACUGCUAACCAAAUUGAUGAAUGAAAUUUUGCACAGAUUUAUGCCAUAAAUGUUUCCCAUUAACUGAACUGGCAAAGAAUCGACUGCAGAAAAACAUUUAGAGCCUUAAAGUUUAAACCGCAUAAUUGACAAAACACAUUGUAAUGGGUGGAACAACGGCAAAAUCAGAAGGUGCAAAACAGAAACCAAAACGUGCCGAACAGAAAUGGUUGACCUUUCUGACAAUCAUUUUGGCGUUUGUUACAGGCAGUCAUUGCUUUUGACGGUGACACGUUCAUUGGUAAGGGGAAAACCAGGGUUUCAGUGUAUACCACAAUAUUUGAACAUCGAAAAUGACGUAAUCAAUUCAACUUUCGAACUGCAUUUUUUUUUCAAACAUUUAAGUAAUGACAGAACUUUCUAUUCAUAAGUUUGUUUACAAAAAAAUGCAUAAUUAAAAAUGAAAAUUG
rnacentral:lncRNA from 1 species